rnacentral:lncRNA from 10 species
GGUUGAGACUGGGUGGAUGAGGCUCACCCCGGCGGGGAGAAGGGACGAGGAGGGGCGGACAGCGGAAGGUCCGGGAGUGUCCGCCAUAAAGUCGUUUGAGGUGACCGUUGCGUAAUUGUGAGUCUGUGAGAGAAGAUGUGAAGUAUGGCCUCGUCCCGGUCAUCUGGGCGUGCGGGUCCCGGGUUUUGAUCGCGCGUUUGUGUAGUUUUAACUUCUAGUCAUGGCGAAUGAUCGCAGGAGAGCACAGACUGGACCCUGCUACGAUCUCUCUUGGAGUGGAUCAGACUGAUGAUCACCAACAACCAACUCAUUCCCGGAUAAGGAAGAAGAGAGUGUCACCUACUUCAUGUACAACGUUGGACACUGUGCAGGAUGAUGCCACUUCAUCUUGGAUGCUAAUCUGCCAUGUUGACUUCUGAUUAACCCCAGGCCCAGGAAUGCCUCAAGAUUUCUACUUUACUUACUGUUGCUUGUGUAAGCCAAGACAACCUUGAUGUUAUCAUAAACAUGUACUUACCUAAGUCCUGUCCUUUGGCAAAUUAUGGGCUAUGAGACACAGCAUUCUUGCCUUUCCCUGAGGGGUCAAUUUCAGCGAUCCUACACAUUCCUUCUGAAGCACUUAUGCUCUUUCUAUAUGGUAUGUAAGCUCUCGGUCUGGGGAGUAACAGUGCAGAGAUCUACCUGUCUUGUUGCCACAUGUUUCUAAACUUUCCAAUAAAUCACCUUCUAC